GCGAACGCUGGCGGCAGGCCUAACACAUGCAAGUCGAGCGCCCGUAGCAAUACGGGAGCGGCAGACGGGAUAGUAACACGUGGGAACGUACCCUUCAGUUCGGAACAACCCAGGGAAACUUGGGCUAAUACCGAAUACGUCCGUAAGGAGAAAGAUUUAUCGCUGAAGGAUCGGCCCGCGUCUGAUUAGCUAGUUGGUGAGGUAAUGGCUCACCAAGGCGACGAUCAGUAGCNGGUCUGAGAGGAUGAUCAGCCACACUGGGACUGCGACACGGCCCAGACUCCUACGGGAGGCAGCAGUGGGGAAUAUUGGGCAAUGGGCGAAAGCCUGACCCAGCCACGCCGCGUGAGUGAUGAAGGCCU
rnacentral:rRNA from 1 species